GAGUGGUGAACUGGUGAGUAACACGUGGGAAACCUGCCCAGAAGCGGGGGAUAACACCUGGAAACAGAUGCUAAUACCGCAUAACAACUUGGACCGCAUGGUCCGAGCUUGAAAGAUGGCUUCGGCUAUCACUUUUGGAUGGUCCCGCGGCGUAUUAGCUAGAUGGUGGGGUAACGGCUCACCAUGGCAAUGAUACGUAGCCGACCUGAGAGGGUAAUCGGCCACAUUGGGACUGAGACACGGCCCAAACUCCUACGGGAGGCAGCAGUAGGGAAUCUUCCACAAUGGACGAAAGUCUGAUGGAGCAACGCCGCGUGAGUGAAGAAGGGUUUCGGCUCGUAAAACUCUGUUGUUAAAGAAGAACAUAUCUGAGAGUAACUGUUCAGGUAUUGACGGUAUUUAACCAGAAAGCCACGGCUAACUACGUGCCAGCAGCCGCGGUAAUACGUAGGUGGCAAGCGUUGUCCGGAUUUAUUGGGCGUAAAGCGAGCGCAGGCGGUUUUUUAAGUCUGAUGUGAAAGCCUUCGGCUCAACCGAAGAAGUGCAUCGGAAACUGGGAAACUUGAGUGCAGAAGAGGACAGUGGAACUCCAUGUGUAGCGGUGAAAUGCGUAGAUAUAUGGAAGAACACCAGUGGCGAAGGCGGCUGUCUGGUCUGUAACUGACGCUGAGGCUCGAAAGUAUGGGUAGCAAACAGGAUUAGAUACCCUGGUAGUCCAUACCGUAAACGAUGAAUGCUAAGUGUUGGAGGGUUUCCGCCCUUCAGUGCUGCAGCUAACGCAUUAAGCAUUCCGCCUGGGGAGUACGGCCGCAAGGCUGAAACUCAAAGGAAUUGACGGGGGCCCGCACAAGCGGUGGAGCAUGUGGUUUAAUUCGAAGCUACGCGAAGAACCUUACCAGGUCUUGACAUACUAUGCAAAUCUAAGAGAUUAGACGUUCCCUUCGGGGACAUGGAUACAGGUGGUGCAUGGUUGUCGUCAGCUCGUGUCGUGAGAUGUUGGGUUAAGUCCCGCAACGAGCGCAACCCUUAUUAUCAGUUGCCAGCAUUAAGUUGGGCACUCUGGUGAGACUGCCGGUGACAAACCGGAGGAAGGUGGGGAUGACGUCAAAUCAUCAUGCCCCUUAUGACCUGGGCUACACACGUGCUACAAUGGAUGGUACAACGAGUUGCGAACUCGCGAGAGUAAGCUAAUCUCUUAAAGCCAUUCUCAGUUCGGAUUGUAGGCUGCAACUCGCCUACAUGAAGUCGGAAUCGCUAGUAAUCGCGGAUCAGCAUGCCGCGGUGAAUACGUUCCCGGGCCUUGUACACACCGCCCGUCACACCAUGAGAGUUUGUAACACCCAAAGUCGGUGGGGUA
rnacentral:rRNA from 1 species